ACCUGUUCCCAUGCCGAACACAGAAGUUAAGCUCUUGAACGCCGAUGGUAGUUGGGACUUUGUCCCUGUGAGAGUAGGACGUUGCCAGGC
rnacentral:rRNA from 1 species